AACUUGCCUAUAUACAGGAAUACGUACAUAGAUGCAUAUAUAUAUAUAUAUAUAUAUAUGUGUGUGUGUGUGUGUGUAUGUAUGUAUGUAAUAAUCGAUCAGUAAAAGAAAAAUAUCAUUUUCUUAUCAUACUUUAACGAAUUAUAAACGCUUCAGGCUAUAUCAUAGUUACCUAAUAUUUUCGAUAAUUUAGAUUUCUCUACUUUAUUCGUAGGUAAGUCACAGUAAUCUCUUGAUCCUAAAAUAAGGACACAAAGCUUUGUCUAUAGCACAAUUACAUUAGGCGCAUAUUAAAGAAAGAAAGAAAAGAAGAAAAACGAAAGAAAAAAAGAAAGAAGGAAGAAGAACAGCUCCUUUUACCGUUUCAAAUAACAUAACUGUAAGAAAAAUGAAAAACUUGCCUGGAUAUUUAUUUCGGUGAUCCCAAUUAGGAUAAUCAAGAUGGUCACGUUCAUCGUUCUUUAUUUUAUUAACGAUGGAAUAUAUCCCUCGUUUGUGAUGUAAUAUCAUGUCGCUCUCCCCACGAUACUUAAGUCUGUAAUAUAAUGUUAUCAUAUAUUUGCUAUUUUAUUUAUA